AGACAUAUUCACUUCUUCUUGGGCACUUUGUCUUAGUCAGGGCCUAGAGUGGGGAAGGACGUAGUGGUAACGCAAUGCUCUUAACUGAACCCAGCACAACCCUCCACAUACCCGUUGUGGACGAGCACAGCAAGCAGAGGCAAAGUGUAAACUCCCCAGAGGAAGACCCUAGGCCGGGUGCAGUCUGCUGUGACACUGGCACUGGGACAUGGGCCACUGGCAGUCGGGGUCCUGGAGUCAGGUGGCAAAGAGAGCGUUAGAUUUCGGCCAGUUCCGAACCCAGCCUGUGAAAGUGUGGGAGCUGCGUUUCUAGAGACGCUGCAGUUCUGAGGUGCUGACCCCAAACUGGCUGCCAAGGUAACUCACACAUGGGUGAUGUCCUGAGAACCACACUGACAGCACUGGAGCCCUGCAGCCGCGGUGCUGGGAGCUCUGGGGCACGGCAGGUCUCAGCAGGGCUGCUCUGCAGUCCCCGCACUGGGUGAAUACGGCUUGGAGUAAAGGCAGGAGGGAAGGAACCACACUGCAGGGUGUACAGAGAACCCACACAGCCCUUCAGUGCAAAGAGCUUAAUUCCCUGGGAUUAUCCAUCCCCUCCCUUUCCCUGGAAGUGUUGGACAGUGGCCACCGUAUGUCUCUAAGCUCCACUCCAUAUGCAAAGGUUCAGUUGUCACCAUUUCUGCUUGAACACACUAUUUCUGCUUGGUGUCAAAGGCAAUUGGAGGCUUGUACCCCAAAAUGAAAGAGGCAACUAAAAUCACCACCUUUCCUUCCUUUAACAGAAAGGAGUAUGUCAGCAGGGGAGCCAAAGGAGGUUUUAUCAGGGAAAGUAAAGUUGGAAUCGGAUGGGAGCACGCAUCUCCCUGUGAAUUGGGCACCCAAGAACCUCCUCCCAGUUCAUGUGAAUGUUCCUCAUGAGCAGAACUCCAGCGCUUGUGCUUUAUAAAACAUUUUUGGCUCCUUAUUCACAGCCGGGCAGUGAAAAGCCUGUGCUGGAAAUGGUGAAUUUCCAAUUAGCAUCAAGGGCAGAGUCUGGUGCCUCCUUUUCCUCAGCCAUUCCUGUAGGGAGGCUGCUGGACAGGACCCAGAGGCAGGAGCCUGCACUGGAGCCUUCAGCUCUGGUGCUGUUCAGUGCUGUUAAGAUGCUCCGAUCCCAGCAAGUGCUUUAUCCCAGAGCCCAUCAGGAAUGCAGAACACAGAGCUCUGUCUGCCCAGCACUUGCUGACAAGACUGAUCCGUUCCUCCAUGAGGAUCUUGGUGCCUGGGAUGGAAUCUUCCUGGCUCCUUACCCCUCUGGGCAUUGCGGCACAGCAUCUCCCUGCCACAGUAAGAUGAGCACCGUUUCCUGGUGCUGCUGGAUUAGAACAAGCCAGCAGUGGUGACUUUGUGUAAAGGAGCAAGAUGAUGCUUUGGCUUGUCUUUAAACCUUCAUAAGCACUUGACAGCAACAUGACAACUAUUAACCGCUGCCUUUAUGAAGCAUAGAAUCGACCAGGUUGGAAAAGACCUUUAAGACGAUCAAGUCCCAACCACUCCCCAGCACUAACCCAUGUCCCUGAGGGCAAGUGGAGGCUGCAGGUACUUCAAACUCCAUUUUAGAGGAGGAGGAGGGCCAGUUACCAGUAAAAUCUACUUGGUGCAGCCAGUGGGGUUUCCAGAGAUGAGUUUCUGACACUGUCAUGUGCUUAGUUCACAGGUCCACUGCAUCACCCUGACUUGAUGCUCCCGGUUCCUGUUAGUGAUCCACACGUAGCCACCAUGGUCCACCCCAGUCCUGCCCGUUUCAGGUCCAGAUUCCCAACAUUGCUGAUGUAAAGGUCUUCCUAAGGCCACCCCUCCUAUUGCCCCUCUGCAGCAGGAGGGUGAAGAGUCUCUGUGCGAGGCUGCACGAGCAGGGGCUUGACCAGAAGCGCUCCCCAGUGAGACAGUAGAGGUUUCUCACAGUCUGAGUGAGGUUCUCCACUCAAACACCUGGGGCGAGGUGGUGGUGGUGGCUCUGACCUCCUCCAUGGACACACCACAUACUGAGGGGCUGCUGAUCACUGGCUUUCCUGCACCCAAGCUGGGAAUGUGUUGGAGAACCUGAGAGACCACCUCAGCUGUCCUGCACGUGCCAUAGUGCUCCCGGUCACAGCACAGUAACUUGAACAAGAGCUUGUUCUUAACGGGAAGUGUUAAACCAGGCGAGAGGACCCUGAGGUCCAGGAUCACCCCUGAGCUUAAUGUCACUUGAGGAGCAGCAGCGUGGGGUGAGAACCAUUCCUCUUUAUAGUAUCCUGAAUUCCAGAACAGGAGUUGAACCUCUCCAGCCUGUCCUCCUGUGGUCUAUGCAGUCCCAUACUGUGGGUGCUGUGAGGGAGAAGAUUUCUUCAGGCAGAGGCUGUGACCCCCUGUCCCUCUGUUCUGCUGGUUGAGGCGCAGCAGCCCCGGACACAUGCUUACGCUGGUUUUAGGUGUUCCUCAGACAGCAUCUCACAGGGAUCCCUCCUGAGCAGGGUGGUGGGAGGAGGUGGUGGUGCAGAACUCCCAGCACUGUGCUGUGGUGAGGGGCCUCCAGCCUAACGCUGCCUUUGCCUCCCCUGCAGCAGCCCUUGGCUUGCCGCUGGCUCCACCAGUGCCACCAGAGCAGGAGCCCUCUGCCUGUCUCCAGCCACUGCAGUUCAGUCUUAGGGAGCUGCCUCCACGUAGCCUGAUUCCUGCUUGGUGCCAGGACACGCUGCUGGGCCUGGCCCAGCCCCUUCCCAGAGUUAGCAGCAGCUCUAGAGCUGCCCUAAGGGUCCCAAGGAAUUGAGGGAUUUGCUGCUUGUUGUGGAUUCCUGCUGAAAGGAAUGGCGGGAUUUGUCUUGCAAACAGGUUUUCAGGCAUAUUUAGGAGAAAAUAGCCCAGAGACCCUUCUCUGCACCCGAGGGUGGAGGCUUUGGGGCUGCACCACUCUGGGCCGGCGGCAGCAGGCAGCAGCAGUACUGGCACCACACACUGAGCUGGGAGGUCCCAUUAACCCUUUGGUUUCUCUUUGCUUCAAGCGGUGGACGUGGUGCCUAGUCCUGGAGCUCGUCCUGCCUGGGGAGGGGGGUGAGGUGCUCAAGGGGGUGGGGAGGAGGUUCCCAAAUCCAGCUGCUUUGCUGGCUGGGAGGGUGGAUGGGGGGCGGGGAAAGGCCGUGGUGGUGCCCAGUGUUGGAUCUCUGUUGUCCCGUGUGGGAGGGAAUGGGAGGGCUGGUGAAUAGUGGCUAGGAUGGAGUCCUUUGCUGC